AGAGUUUGAUCCUGGCUCAGAACGAACGUUGGCGGCGUGGAUUAGGCAUGCAAGUCGAACGCGAAAGCUUCCUUCGGGAAGUGAGUAGAGUGGCGAACGGGAGAGUAACGCGUGGAAAACCUACCAUCGAGUGGGGGAUAACACUUCUAACGGAGUGCUAAUACCGCAUGAAUCGGGAAUGUCGCAUGACUUCCUGGGAAAGCGGGCCUCUACUUGUAAGCUCGUGCUCGAUGAUGGUUCCGCGUCCCAUUAGCUUGUUGGUGGGGUAAUGGCCUACCAAGGCGACGAUGGGUAGCCGGCCUGAGAGGGUGUCCGGCCACACUGGGACUGAGAUACGGCCCAGACUCCUACGGGAGGCAGCAGUCGAGAAGCUUCGGCAAUGGGCGAAAGCCUGACCGAGCGAUGCCGCGUGAGUGAAGAAGGCCCUAUGGGUUGUAAAGCUCUGUCAGAUUGGGAAGAAAAUCCUGCGGUUAAUACCCGUGGGACUUGACGGUACCAUCAGAGGAAGCACCGGCUAACUCCGUGCCAGCAGCCGCGGUAAUACGGAGGGUGCAAGCGUUGUUCGGAUUCACUGGGUAUAAAGGGUGCGCAGGCGGUCUGAUAAGUCAGAGGUGAAAUAUGUCGGCUCAACCGGCAAACGGCCUCUGAAACUGUCAGACUUGAGUUCGAGAGAGGUAGGUGGAAUUCCAGGUGUAGCGGUGAAAUGCGUAAAUAUCUGGAGGAACACCAGUGGCGAAGGCGGCCUACUGGCUCGGAACUGACGCUCAGGCACGAAAGCUAGGGGAGCGAACGGGAUUAGAUCCCCCGGUAGUCCUAGCCGUAAACGAUGGGUACUAGGUGUUGGAAGGUUCUACCCCUUCAGCGCCGCCGCUAACGCAUUAAGUAGACCACCUGGGGAGUACGAUCGCAAGGUUGAAACUCAAAGGAAUUGACGGGGGCCCGCACAAGCGGUGGAGCAUGUGGUUUAAUUCGAUGCAACGCGAAGAACCUUACCGGGACUUGACAUCCAAGGGACAGGCGUAGAGAUACGUCCUCCUUCGGGUCCUUGGACAGGUGCUGCAUGGCUGUCGUCAGCUCGUGUCGUGAAAUGUUGGGUUAAGUCCCGCAACGAGCGCAACCCCUGUCCUUAGUUGCCAGCACGUAAUGGUGGGAACUCUAGGGAGACUGCCGGUGACAAACCGGAGGAAGGUGGGGAUGACGUCAAGUCAUCAUGGCCCUUACGUCCCGGGCUACACACGUGCUACAAUGGCUUGUACAAAGGGUUGCGAACCCGCGAGGGGGAGCCAAUCCCAAAAAGCAAGCCUCAGUUCGGAUUGUAGUCUGCAACUCGACUACAUGAAGUCGGAAUCGCUAGUAAUCGUGGAUCAGCAUGCCACGGUGAAUCCGUUCCCGGGCCUUGUACACACCGCCCGUCAAGUCAGCCGAAUUGGUUGCACCCGAAGUCGUUGAGCUAACCCGUAAGGGAAGCAGGCGCCGAAGGUGUGGCUGGUGAGGGGGACUAAGUCGUAACAAGGUAGCCGUA
rnacentral:rRNA from 1 species